rnacentral:rRNA from 1 species
AUGGAGAAGAAGAGGGUGGCCAUCGUCGGAGCCGGCGUGAGCGGGCUGACGGCGUGCAAGCACCUGCUGGAGCGCGGCUGCCGUCCGGCCAUCUUCGAGGCGGACAAGCUCCUGGGCGGCGUGUGGGCGCGCGCCCCGGACUGCACGUCGCUGCAGUCAGAGCGGCCCAUGUACCAGUUCUCCGACUUCCCGUGGCCGGAGUCCGUGAGAGAGGUCUUCCCGGACCAUCGACAGGUCGCCGACUACCUCGACGCCUACACCCGCCACUUCGGCGUGCUCGACUGCGUCAGGUUCGGGCACCGGGUGGUCGGGAUGGAGUAUGUCGGCGUCGGCGAGGAGAAGGUGGUGGAGUGGGAGGAGUGGGCCGGGUGCGGCGAGGCGUUUGGUUCUCCGACGGUGAGUGGCGUCUCACUGUGGCCGACGCCGAGGGCAACAUCGAGCCCUUUGACCGAAAUCGCUGAAAUUGUUGCUGAAAUAUUUCCAAACCUGAAAACACACGUGGCAGACUUUGUGGUUCUUUGCAUUGGGCGGUUUAGUGGUGUGCCCAACAUACCCACUUUCCCUCCAGGCAAAGGUCCAGAAGCAUUUGAUGGGCAGGUGAUUCACACCAUGGAUUACGCCAAAAUGGGCACCAAGAAAGCUACCGAAAUGUUAAAGGGCAAGCGUGUGACUGUCAUUGGCUACUUGAAAUCAGCUCUCGACGUAGCUGCCGAAUGUGCAGACGUAAAUGGUACUGAACAUCCAUGUACAAUGGUUGUCCGAACAAAGCAUUGGAUCAUACCAAGCUACUAUGCGUGGGGUUUCCCUAUAGCAAACUUAUAUCUAAAUCGCUUCUCUGAAUUACUUAUCCACAAGCCUGGUGAGGGCUUCCUACUAUGCCUCUUAGCCAUCAUCUUGACUCCCCUGAGGUGGUUGUUCUCAAAGUUUGCUGAGAGCUACUACUCCAUCCCCAUGAAGAAGCAUGGCAUGGUACCUGAGCAUAGCUUCUUUGAGGCACUAGUGACAUGCUUGAUUGCCAUUACAACAAAGGACCACUACAAGAGACUAGACGAAGGCAGCAUUAUUCUGAAAAAGUCCAAGACCUUUAGCUUCUGCAAGGAAGGUGUAGUUGUUGAAGGUGAAUCUUCGCCGAUAAAGAGCGAUAUAGUGAUCUUCGGAACGGGAUUCAAGGGAGACCAGAAGAUCACGAACAUGUUUACUUCAGAAUACUUUCAGAGUAUUGCAGUUGGGCCAAUAUCCUCGACUAUACCUCUCUACAGGGAGUGCAUACAUCCUAAGAUUCCACAACUCGCGGUCCUCGGUUAUUCAGAGAGUCUAGCGAAUCUGUACACUGCAGAAAUUCGGGCCAAAUGGCUGGCGCAUUUCAUUGAUAGUGGAUUCAGAUCACCAAGUGUUAAAGCGAUGCAGGGUGAUAUCCUUGAGUGGGAGAAGUUCAUGAAGCGCUAUUCUCGUGUCUACUUCCGGAGGUCCUGUAUUGGGCUUCUUCACAUCUGGUAUAAUGAUCAACUAUGUCAGGACAUGGGAUGCAACCCGAGAAGGAAGAAUAGCAUUUUAGCUGAAUUAUUUGAGGUAUAUGGUCCCCAUGAUUAUGUUAAUCUUCACCCCAAGUAA